GGGCCCGCACAAGCGGUGGAGCAUGUGGUUUAAUUCGACGCAACGCGCAGAACCUUACCAGGGUUUGACAUCCCGUGCCACGCUCAGAGAUGGGCGGUCCCCGCAAGGGGCGCGGAGACAGGUGCUGCAUGGCUGUCGUCAGCUCGUGUCGUGAGAUGUUGGGUUAAGUCCCGCAACGAGCGCAACCCUCUCCUUUAGUUGCCAUCAUUUAGUUGGGCACUCUAAAGGGACCGCCGGCGACAAGCCGGAGGAAGGUGGGGAUGACGUCAAGUCCUCAUGGCCCUUACACCCUGGGCUACACACGUGCUACAAUGGCGGUGACAGUGGGCAGCUACCACGCGAGUGGAAGCGAAUCCCAAAAAACCGUCCCAGUUCAGAUUGUACUCUGCAACUCGAGUACAUGAAGGCGGAAUCGCUAGUAAUCGCAGAACAGCAGGCUGCGGUGAAUACGUUCCCGGGCCUU
rnacentral:rRNA from 1 species